GAUCAUGGCUCAGGAUGAACGCUGGCGGCGUGCUUAACACAUGCAAGUCGAACGAAGCACUUUAUUUGAUUUCUUCGGAAAUGAAGAUUCUGUGACUGAGUGGCGGACGGGUGAGUAACGCGUGGAUAACCUGCCUCAUACAGGGGGAUAACAGCCGGAAACGGCUGCUAAUACCGCAUAAGCGCACGGUACCGCAUGGUACAGUGUGAAAAACUCCGGUGGUAUGGGAUGGAUCCGCGUCUGAUUAGCCAGUUGGCGGGGUAACGGCCCACCAAAGCGACGAUCAGUAGCCGACCUGAGAGGGUGACCGGCCACAUUGGGACUGAGACACGGCCCAAACUCCUACGGGAGGCAGCAGUGGGGAAUAUUGCACAAUGGGGGAAACCCUGAUGCAGCGACGCCGCGUGAGCGAAGAAGUAUUUCGGUAUGUAAAGCUCUAUCAGCAGGGAAGAAGAAAUGACGGUACCUGACUAAGAAGCCCCGGCUAACUACGUG
rnacentral:rRNA from 1 species